rnacentral:lncRNA from 1 species
CAGGGAGACUGUUUGAGGCCAGCCCUGGAGGUUGUCUACUGUGCCGUGAUGUUCACGCACCUGAUUAGCUCAGAAAGGCAGCUUGGCCAAUGUCACACAAGUUUGGAAGCUGCACAUUUUGUAAGGUGCUCAAAAUGCCUCCAGUUUUAGUUUUUGUAUCAUAAGAAAAAAAGGGGAAGACGAGCAAGGGCCACAUGGUCAGCCCUGUUUCCUGGACAGGGCAGCGGUGACCCCAGGAGUGCGGUUCCUAAACCAGGUUCCUGUGGUUCUGAGGAGAGAUGCUCCCAGGACACCUGUGUAUGAUGCAUAAGCUCUGAGCCGUGCCAACAGCCAGCACCUGUUGCUUCACUAAACCCCACACAAAACAAGGCCUUGUGUGUGAGAGAAGAGAGACCUCAGCUCUUGGAGGUGGGAGCUUUCUCCAUCAUCUUUCUCUUAUGUCCACCUGGCAAAAGGAACAGGUGUGCCUGGAAGUCCCUCUUUGUCCUUUCAGACCCAUAUGCUGACAUUCCACGUCCGGUCUGGGCCCUGGGAGGCUGGUCUCUAGGGACUCCACCCUCCAGGGCUCUGGCCUUCGGUUGGGUUUGGGCAAUGGAAGGCCCUGGUGUAAGAUCAGAAGGGGGUAAGGGGAGAGGCUGGGGCCUUUAUUUCCUGGCAACUUUCCUGCCAGGUCGUGUUUGGAUGGGGUCUCAUUUCUCUCUCUGCGGCCAGUGGGUUCGGGUAAUCACUCUCUCCCUGGUCCCUUAGGGCUGGGGUUUGUGAUGGCCUCCCACUGUGUGACUCCGGGUGCCUUAGUCCCCUGCUGAAUUCCAGGCCCUGCUGUGCCUCUGCAGGGUCUGUGUACCCUCUGCUCUGUGGCUCCUCCGAGCACACAGUCUCAUCAUCACUGUCAUGAAUUGUCGUAGAAAAGUCCUAAAUCCCAGAGUUUGCAAUGGUCUUUUUUGCACCAGUUAGAAAACACACCACCUUUGGAAGCAAUUAACCUCUUGUGGUUCAGGUGUAUUCAGGAGUCCAUGCAGCAGGAAGUGGAGCCAUCAUCACAGGGUACGAAGGGAGGACAAGUGCAGUGUCGUGAGCAUGUACAGAGGGAAGUUGACAGCGGGGAGAGGCUUUGCUGAGGAAGUGGCGUUUGGAAGAACGAGAAUGAGGGGAAACCUGGAGAAGCCAGUGAAGGACACUGACCAGCGAACAGCUUCU